AAUGAACGCUGGCGGCAUGCCUAACACAUGCAAGUCGAACGGCAGCACGGUAAGCGCUUGUUCCUACUGGUGGCGGGGGGCGGACGGGUGAGGAAUGCAUCGGAAUCUUCUUUUUCGUGGAGGAUAACGUGGGACAAUAUACGCUAAUACCUCAUAUUAUCUACGGGUGAAAGCAGGGGAUCUUCGCACCUUGCGCGUUUGUAUUAGCCGAUGUCGGAUUAGCUAGUUGGCGGGGUAAAGGCCCACCAAGGCGACGAUCCGUAGCUGGUCUGAGAGGAUGAUCAGCCACACUGGAACUGAGACACGGUCCAGACUCCUACGGGAGGCAGCAGUGGGGAAUAUUGGACAAUGGGCGCAAGCCUGAUCCAGCAAUGCCGCGUGAGUGAAGAAGGCCUUCGGGUUGUAAAGCGCUUUUGUUAGGAAAGAAAAGCUGUAGGUUAAUACCCCGCGGUUCUGACGGUACCUAAAGAAUAAGCACCGGCUAACUACGUG
rnacentral:rRNA from 1 species